rnacentral:rRNA from 1 species
UCGCGGCCUAUCAGCUUGUUGAGAGGGGUAAUGGCCUACCAAGGCGACGACGGGUAGCCGGCCUGAGAGGGCGACCGGCCACACUGGGACUGAGACACGGCCCAGACUCCUACGGGAGGCAGCAGUGGGGAAUAUUGCGCAAUGGGCGAAAGCCUGACGCAGCGACGCCGCGUGAGGGAUGACGGCCUUCGGGUUGUAAACCUCUUUCAGCUCCGACGAAGCGAAAGUGACGGUAGGAGCAGAAGAAGCACCGGCCAACUACGUGCCAGCAGCCGCGGUAAUACGUAGGGUGCAAGCGUUGUCCGGAAUUAUUGGGCGUAAAGAGCUCGUAGGCGGUCCGUCGCGUCGGCUGUGAAAACUCAGGGCUCAACCCUGAGCCUGCAGUCGAUACGGGCGGACUAGAGUACUUCAGGGGAGACUGGAAUUCCUGGUGUAGCGGUGAAAUGCGCAGAUAUCAGGAGGAACACCGGUGGCGAAGGCGGGUCUCUGGGAAGUAACUGACGCUGAGGAGCGAAAGCGUGGGGAGCGAACAGGAUUAGAUACCCUGGUAGUCCACGCCGUAAACGUUGGGCGCUAGGUGUGGGAUCCCUUCCACGGGUUCCGUGCCGCAGCUAACGCAUUAAGCGCCCCGCCUGGGGAGUACGGA